GAUGAAGAACGUAGCGAAAUGCGAUACUUGGUGUGAAUUGCAGAAUCCCGUGAACCAUCGAGUCUUUGAACGCAAGUUGCGCCCGAAGCCACUAGGCCGAGGGCACGCCUGCCUGGGCGUCACACGUCGUUGCCCCCCCAUCUACUCCUUCGGGAUUGCGGGGGGGCGGAUGAUGGCCUCCCGUGCACCUAUCCGCGCGGUUGGCAUAAAUACCAAGUCCUCGGCGACGCACGCCACGACAAUCGGUGGUUGCGAAACCUCGGUUGCCCGUCGUGUGCGUUCGUCGCGCAUCGAGGGCUCGAAAAAAUGCUCGGCUUCGGCUCGGCUUUCAACGCGACCCCAGGUCAGGCGGGGUUACCCGCUGAAUUUAAGCAUAUCAAUAAGCGGAGGA
rnacentral:misc_RNA from 1 species